UACGUAGGGUGCGAGCGUUGUCCGGAAUUAUUGGGCGUAAAGAGCUCGUAGGCGGUGUGUCACGUCGGCCGUGAAAACCUGCAGCUUAACUGUGGGCGUGCGGUCGAUACGGGCAUCACUGGAGUUCGGCAGGGGAGACUGGAAUUCCCGGUGUAGCGGUGAAAUGCGCAGACAUCAGGAGGAACACCGGUGGCGAAGGCGGGUCUCUGGGCCGAUACUGACGCUGAGGAGCGAAAGCGUGGGGAGCGAACAGG
rnacentral:rRNA from 1 species